rnacentral:lncRNA from 1 species
CCUACUCCGAACUUCUUUCGGACUUCGUCAAUAUCCGAGCUUCUCCGACAAUAAAAUUUCUACAGUAACCAGACUCCAUCCAAAUUUCUACGACGGUCGAUCGCCUUCCGGAUUUCACCCGAGCUCCUGCGAGAGUCGAAAUUCUACAGCAAGUAGUCUACUUCGAACUCCCACUGCUGGCGGUUUACUUCAGAUAUCUACUCCGAAUUCCGAACGAGCUUCUACAAUGGGACAGGUUCCACCGGCC